rnacentral:lncRNA from 1 species
GUAAAAAUCCUCGACUGAUUGAUUGGACAGGCUCGUUGGUGGGUAAACAACGUAACGAGCCCAUAAUGAAAGAUCAUCUUUUUCUUCAUUAUUGGUCUCGUGAUAACUUAUAUUCAUCUUCUUUGGAGGAUAAAUAUGGUGACUGUGAAACCAAUAAUUUAUGGGCAACAGAUUGCUUAGAUAAAAAAUGGGAUGAGCUUGAGGUGUCUUUCAUAGAUCCAUUUGGACGCAGUGUUAAGGUGAAGAAGUGUGGUGUUAGAAUAGUGUAUGAGAAAGAUUUGGAAGAAAUAAAAGAGUUGCAGUUCCAUACCACUCAAUCUUCUCCAAAUUCUGAGCACAUCUACCAACACUCUGCUCACAACGAUGGAUUAGUACGUAGCACUACUCACAUAAAACAAAAACAUAAUAUCUACAAGGAAGCAGGGGAAGAAGGGCCACAACCAAAACGGAUGCAAAAGUUUUUGAAUUUUAUAAUGGGUCAAUCGAAGAAGCAUUAACUGUGGUAAGCUACCUAACCAACCUUGUCCUGAAUUUUUUUUACACAUCUACGUUGUUUAUAUCUUUUAUUUCAUUUAUAGUAAUCAUUCUAAAUUUAUUUGCGUUCGAGAUAUCAUCUUUCCAUUGUAUACCAAAAAAAAUUAAAAUUUUCAUUCAUACUCAUUUUGAACAUGAGCUCAUAUUCUAUUUAAAAUUUUAGUCAUUUAAUUCAUUUUUUUAUAUAAUUGAAAUGUGUACACUUUAUUGGUUUCAUUUUUUUAUUAAUUUUUUUCAUUAUAUAUUCACUUAGAGACAGAAAAUAUGAACGGAAGUAUAGACAAAAUUAGUAUAAAAAUAUAUUAAGAAACAGGUAAUUAGGUCGAGAAAAUCAAUAAUUAAAGUUUAGGACGUAAAUUUUAAAAGUUCAAUCACUAUUAAAUUUUAAUUUAGAAAAUAAUUGAGGACUUAAUUAAUAAUUAAUCUAAGGACCUUGAAAUAAAUUGAUCAUUAAUAAAAUAUGAUAGUGCAAUGGUAUGAUUACACCCACUGAUCUUAAUUGCCUUGAUUAAUUAAGACUAACUUAUUAACAUUAUAUUGUUAAUGAUGAUUAAUUAAUCUAAUUAAGAUUUUAAAAGUGAGUGGAGAGAAAGAUGAAGUUAUCUUUCUUAUUGUGUUUGGUCGUCCCAAGGUAAGAAGAAGAAGGAAAAACUUCUUUCUUUUCUUUUUCAUUUUAAUCCAAAAUUAAUCAAGGUAAUUAAGUUCUUUCCUUAAGAUUUUUUUGAAUUUUGAAUCAUUAGAGUUUGGUUUAGCUACCCAUGUAUCGAUUUCUUUAAUUGUUAGAUUUCUAAUAAGUUAUCAUUGAUGUAUAAUUGAUAAAAUUAAGCUUGAACUUGAAGAGAUUGUUUGUUAGUAAACUUAGAAAUCAAGUUAAGCUUUAAAGAUAAUUUUGUGACCUUAGGGAUGAAAUUUAAUAAAUUGAUCAUUUUUAAUAAAUUAUGCUAUAGAUUAAAAGUAUAAUGUCUCUAAUGAAAGGAUAUGAAAUCAAAUUUUGAUCCGCUAUUAAAUAUUGGAAAAUAUGAGUAUUUCAUAUAUAAGGACUAAAAUGAAUAAAAUGUAAAAUAUGUUUGAUUAUUUGUUUUUAAUGUGAUUGGAUGAAAAACUCAUAUAUUUUCUAUACUUAUAUUAUUGUACGUAGCUAAAGAUGAUGUUAGAUUGUCUCGAGAAAAAGGAAAGGCGAGAGUCGUAGACAAGAAACGAAUAUGGGUUGUACUUUUAUGCAUGUUUUGAAUUCAAUUUAUAUAUAUGUCUUGUUACACAUUAGCUUUGCAACACUGUAACGCCUCAAAAUUUGAGUUUUAAUUGCUAAGUUGUGUCAAUGAAUAUGUGUCUGCUUCUGUGGUUGUGUGCUCUGUUUGCUCACUAAAGGUUUGAGGUUUGAAUUACAUAAAUUUUAGAAUUUUGUUAUGUUUCUUACUUGAACCCUUAACUUAGGAUUCUUUGUUCAAGUUUAGUUUUGUGCAGAUUAUGUCAAGAAUGAGCUUGUUGGUUCACUAGUUAAAUGUCUGUCUAUUCUUUAGUUCUAUGUUCAAGUUACUAUGUUUGCAACAAUGAUUUUAUUUUUGCAUAUUUAGUAAAAAUUGAUUUGAAAUUUAAAUGUCCUUCCCUCUUUGAUUUGACGAUUUUCUUCAUUUUUUUCUUUCCAAAAUUAUUUUUUUCCUUCUUUCUUUUCUGUUCAUAUUUCCUUAAUUCUUUUCUUUUGUUGUAUGUUCUUCUGUAUAAAUUGCUUCGUUAGAUCGCGUGUUUGCUUGUUUUGGUGUGUUUCAAGGUAAGUUGAGUCGAUAUUUUCAUAAAGUUUGUUAUUGUGAAUUUGGGCUUUUCAAAAGUCUUGAGGUCUGAUAACUUGUUAUGUGUUGUUUCCAUACAUUAUGGAGGAAUUUAAAAGACGCCUAACGCCUAUCGUUUACUUAGGAAUUGAGUGAGUACUAGGAAUCCGUGGUAAGUAAUCUUUCACUUGUUUAGUGUAGUGAGUCAAAAGUUUCGACGAUGUUUGAUUGUUGGUGGUUGUGUAUUUUGCGAAGUUUGAUUGAAUUGAGUGUUUUAGACUUGUUUCAGGCUUGGAUUUUGCAAUUAGGUGCUUCUUCAGUGUCGAGUAACAGGUGGGUGUUAAAACCCGUCUUUUUAUGUGUUUUCUUUGUCAGAAUCGAGAGUGUUAACUACACACGGGUGGCCACACGGACGUGUGUGCUAGCCAUGUGACUCACAUGGCUAUGUGGAGGCCGUGUAACUCCCUGACUUCAAAUUUGUAAACACAUGGGCAUCGGAAAGGCCAUGUGUGGGUAAUGAGAUGCAGGGGUCACAUGGGUGAGACACACGGGCACGUGUCUAGGCUGUGUAACUCACCGAGUUCAUAUUAGAGUCACACAGGUGUGUGACUCACUGAGUUUAUAUUUGAGACACACGUGCGUGUGCUAGGUCAUGUGAGUGUGUGAGCCUGAAUUUUGAAUCCCUGUUAGUGUGGUAAUUGAUGUGCAAGGUGGGGUAAGCCGUAGUAUGAAUUGAACUAAGAUGUACGAAUCUAUUUAUCAUGAAUGUUAUUUGAUCCUGGACAUUGGAAUGAGAUAGAUAUUUCUGAUAUCGGCUUUUGUAUAUUAAAAUGUCUGGCUAUUUUUGCAACCAUGUUAUAUAUAUGUGAUUGAUAUUUGUUCUGAAACAGCAUGUGGGGAGGGUAUGAAGUGAAUGAAGUGUUCUGUAUUGAAUCGGUGGUCAAACCACCCAUAUAUUAUGUUAAUUUGGCAGUGAGACUGUAAACGCUACAACGUGUCAUACCGACACAAUGAGGUGUGUAGGGAUGGACGAGUAUAAUAUACCUAUUAGUGUGUAAAGGAGGGGGAAAUGGAGAUGGUGUGUAGCGGUUGGACUAGGGAAUUUGCAUUUGUAUUUGUAUCAACAUGAUAUAUGUAUCUACUGAUGUCUUUGUGUUAUAUGUGCAUCUAUAAUUGAUUUGCUGUAUUUUCGGACUAUUUUGUGUCUGAAUCUAUUUUAGGUUAUCACUUGAAUGAUGAUACCAAAUUGUAUCUGGACACUCAAUAUCAUCCGAGUACUUAUAUAUAGUGUAGUUCAAUUAUGUUUCACUAUAUGCUGCAACACUCUAACUAUUCGUAUGAAUUUCAGGGGACUCAGUCAUUUGUAGUACUUACUAUGUUUAUAUGUGAGUGAAUCUAUAACUUUGAAUUCGUAUUUCAAAACUUCUAGGAUUUGAUUAUGUUUUGAGUAUUGAAUGUUUUAUAACUUAACUAUAGUGGAAGACUUGCUUUAAGUAUGACUGGUCUGGUGAGACUUCGUGACUUUCUAAACUUAGUCUUUUUGUCUAGGCCGGAUUUAGGGUAUUACAAACACCCCUCACCCAGCUUGGUCUCUGGACCCAAGCUGUGAGAUGCUACUACAAUCACCGAAAUAGUUACAUACAAAUUACAUUCAAAUUUAAAUACUUUAAGUCAUUUCCCAAUUUCAUACAUAAUAGGAUCUACAAACAAAAAUAAGAAUUAAUUGGACUUAUAAAUGUUAAUAAAUCAAUUCAAACAUGUCAAAGGACCAAAUUUCAAACUUUUCAAAAAUAGGGCAUGGAUAUCGAUACUCAAGCUAAGCACCGACAUUGUUUUUAGCUUCAAAAUAUAAAUUUUAAGUUAACAAUAAAAAUGUAUCAAUACAAAGAAUAAGGUACCGAUACUUUCAUAUGGGUACCGAUAGAUGUCCUCAAAGCUUCUCUAUAACUUAAUAAAGUAUUGAUAACUUCAUUUUAUAAUUGCAUACAAAUAAUUUACACAUUAUAUAUCCGAUAUAAAAUAAGUCAAAAUUUACAAAAAUUAAAGGCAAGGCUCAUUAGAAACUUUUGAAUCUGAAAAUGGGGUUGAAGACAACAACUGCGCUAUAGUAAAAAACAAAUUAUAAAUUGUUGACACAUCCUACACAUUAAUUGAUGUAAUGGGUCAAUUUAGCCUGAGCCCAAAACCAUAAGAUAAACAAAAAUAAAAUGUCCACUGUCCAAUUUACACAGCCCAAAAUCAUAACCCGAGCCCAACUACAUAAUACCCAACUAAAUUGGCCCGAAAAUUAAAAAAUAAGAAACCCUAGGGUUUGUUAAGGCGCGUCGCAGCCCCCAGCCUACAGCGCAACCUCCGAACGGCCUCCACGUCCGCGUACUAGCAUGCCACACUUGCAUCCAGCCUUAUACCUACAAGAAAAGGCCACACAACAGCAAGAAAUAGCAGCAAAAAAGAACAAAAAAAAACUGUAAUCACUCGGCUACAAAGCCAUAAACAUUUUUCAUUGUAAUUUUUUUAGAAGGAGACACAAAAAAAAAAUAGCAAUCGGAUAAAAAAAGAAUCAAGGUGGUCUUUCGUUCUGUUCUUUUAUUUCCUUUGCAAGUUUAUUUUCGAAUAAAGAACAUGCAUAUAUAGAUAUUCAAAGAAAAAAAGUUACCUUUCUGAGAUCGGAGAGGGGAACCAAGGGUUUGUUUGUUUUUUUUUACUUUUAAAAGGCUUUUUCUAGAAUUUUAGGUUUUAAAUCAGGGUUGGGGAGAACCAAACGGUCAAAAAGACCUCUUUUCGUAUUACUCCGACCACCAUAUACGGCGGCCACCAACGCUGGAGGCCAACAGCCAUGGUGGUUGGACGAUGACCAUAUUGGCCGGAGAAGAAGGGAGAAAGGAGAGAAAAGGGGAAAGCUUUUAGUUUUUUUUAGAGUUAGGGUUGAAAUGAGAGAUUGAAAAAAAAAUUUAGGUUUUUAUAACAACAAGAAAUGGCGUCGUUUUGAUUUAGCAUCCCAGGGGCUAAGCGGCGUCGUUUUGACGCGAAACGGGUCGACUUGAUCCAUUGCUCAGGGGAUCCACGUGUUUUCUCUAAUAAUGGGUUAUCUACAGCGUUGAUCCCUCUGUUUUUUCAAUCUUUUUCAACUUAGUCCAAUUCUAUUUUAUUUCUUUAAAAUUUUUUCCUUUAAUUUUAGUUCGUUUUCACUUUGGCCCUAAGACCGUUUGAAGAGGUCGACAUCUGAAAUGGUGUCGUUUGGGGAAUAGGGAUAAUUCCCUAAUCGGUCCCCGCCUUCGUUCGUGCAUCUAAUUUUGGUCCUAUUUUGUUCUUUUCUUUCAAAUUUGCCCCUCGUUUUUUGUUUUUAUUUCAUUUUGGUCCCUAUUUAUUUAUUUUAUUAUAGUUUUUACCUUUAAUUUCAUUUUUAUCCCGAUUAAGUCCCUUUUUUAAUAAAUCUAUUUAUUUGCCAAUUCAUUAUUUAUUUAUUCUUUGUUUAUUUUAUUUUUUAUUGAGUAUGUUUUUUUUACUAUCCAAUAUUAUUUAUGUAUUUAUUUACAAAUUGCUCCCUUAAUUUUAUUUAUAUUUUAAUUUGCUAUUUUAUUUUCAAUAUUUUUUGUAUUUUUAUUAUUUUUAUUAUUAUUUUCUAUUAUUGUUAUUAUUAGUAUAUUAUUAUUAUUCUUAAUGUAUUAUUAUUAUUGUUAUUGUAUUAUCACUAUUAUUAUCAUCAUAUUAUUAAACUAAUUAAUUUAUAUUACAUUAUAUAUUUCCUUUUCGUAUUUACUUACGUUAUUAUUAUUAUUAUUAUUAUUAUUUUCGUUGUUGGUAUUAUUAUUAUUAUUAUUAUCGUUUUCAUCAUUUUUUAUUAUUAAUGUUGUUAAAUUAUGCGUAUUGUUAUUUUGUUUUAUUAUCAUUAUUUUCAUGCUUUACUAAUUUGUUGAAUUUAUGUCGCAUUAUCGUUCAUCCGAUAUGAGAUUUUUACACUUUAGCCAUAUUCGAAUAAAACUACACAUAUAUCAUUUUUAAAUAUUUCACCAACUUUCAUCAAAAUUCAUAAAAUAAAGGCAAUAUUCUGUGUUCUGGAAAUUCGAAAGAUUGUGCCAUGCCAUCCUCAGUAUCCGCCUCUGUUUUUCACCCUUAAAAUGACUAUUUUAAUUUAACCCCACAUCGUUUAGAAAAACGAAGAUGAUUAUUUUUUUAAACAGAUGUAUCCAAAACUUGAUAUUUAGAGACGGUAUCAUAAGCCAAAUCAGAUUGAAGGUGGCAGUGCAGUUUUUGGUGUUGCCACUCACAAUAGUAUUACUAAUUCUGGCUUUCUGGUGCAAAGCAAAAUCCAAGUUUAAGCUGCGAAGAUGUUUUGAAUGAAGACGGGGAUGGGGGUUUUUGAAGCCAGUCGUUUGCCGAUAAAUAGAAAGAACAAAGAGAUAGCCGCCUGAGAAGAGCGCCAUCAUCGAAUAGUGGGCUGUUAAUUAGCAAAAGGAAGGAUAGAUAGUCUUUGGCUUUACAAACUCCACCGGUGUUGCUCCGCUCUCUGCAGCCUCUUCAGCUUUUUAGAGAAUGAAUUGGGAAAUUAAUGGGUUAAUUUCAUGCUUAGCCCCUUAUAUUAUAUUAGGUUCUCUGUUUGGAUCCAACAUUUUUAAUUAAACUUCAUUUAAUAAUUGCAUACAAAUAAUUUAACAAGAGCACUAUUAUAUAUAUCGGAUAUAAAAUCAGCCAAUACGUUUGCAUCACAUGUUUUUAAUUAUUAUUUUUCCCUAACAACCCCACUCUUUUUGUUAAGUACGUAAAAUACAAACCCUCCAACAUUUUUAUUUCUUACUUACGAUUAAUUAAACUAGCCUUGAAAUUAUGAUUCCUUCAUUCAAUAAUUGCAUAAAAAUAAUUUAACAACAGCACUAUUAUAUAUACCCGGCGUAAAAUCAACCCUCACCUUCUUGGAAAGAACAUCAUCCCUCAUCUAUUUGUAGAUCUGCUUUUCUCUUUCUUAUCCUCAUCAACCCCUUGUUCCCAGUUUCUU